GGGUUGUGAGGUUAAGCGACUAAGCGUACACGGUGGAUGCCCUGGCAGUCAGAGGCGAUGAAGGACGUGCUAAUCUGCGAAAAGCGUCGGUAAGGUGAUAUGAACCGUUAUAACCGGCGAUGUCCGAAUGGGGAAACCCAGUGUGAUUCGUCACACUAUCGUUAACUGAAUACAUAGGUUAACGAGGCGAACCGGGGGAACUGAAACAUCUAAGUACCCCGAGGAAAAGAAAUCAACCGAGAUUCCCCCAGUAGCGGCGAGCGAACGGGGAGCAGCCCAGAGUCUGAAUCAGCUUGUGUGUUAGUGGAACGGUCUGGAAAGUCCGACGGUACAGGGUGAUAGUCCCGUACACCAAAAUGCACAGGUUGUGAACUCGAAGAGUAGGGCGGGACACGUGGUAUCCUGUCUGAAUAUGGGGGGACCAUCCUCCAAGGCUAAAUACUCCUGACUGACCGAUAGUGAACCAGUACCGUGAGGGAAAGGCGAAAAGAACCCCGGCGAGGGGAGUGAAAAAGAACCUGAAACCGUGUACGUACAAGCAGUGGGAGCACCUUCGGGUGUGACUGCGUACCUUUUGUAUAAUGGGUCAGCGACUUAUAUUCUGUAGCAAGGUUAACCGUAUAGGGGAGCCGCAGGGAAACCGAGUCUUAACUGGGCGUUAAGUUGCAGGGUAUAGACCCGAAACCCGGUGAUCUAGCCAUGGGCAGGUUGAAGGUUGGGUAACACUAACUGGAGGACCGAACCGACUAAUGUUGAAAAAUUAGCGGAUGACUUGUGGCUGGGGGUGAAAGGCCAAUCAAACCGGGAGAUAGCUGGUUCUCCCCGAAAGCUAUUUAGGUAGCGCCUCGUGAAUUCAUCUUCGGGGGUAGAGCACUGUUUCGGCUAGGGGGUCAUCCCGACUUACCAACCCGAUGCAAACUACGAAUACCGAAGAAUGUUAUCACGGGAGACACACGGCGGGUGCUAACGUCCGUCGUGAAGAGGGAAACAACCCAGACCGCCAGCUAAGGUCCCAAAGUCAUGGUUAAGUGGGAAACGAUGUGGGAAGGCACAGACAGCCAGGAUGUUGGCUUAGAAGCAGCCAUCAUUUAAAGAAAGCGUAAUAGCUCACUGGUCGAGUCGGCCUGCGCGGAAGAUGUAACGGGGCUAAACCAUGCACCGAAGCUGCGGCAGCGACACUAUGUGUUGUUGGGUAGGGGAGCGUUCUGUAAGCCUGCGAAGGUGGCCUGUGAGGGUUGCUGGAGGUAUCAGAAGUGCGAAUGCUGACAUAAGUAACGAUAAAGCGGGUGAAAAGCCCGCUCGCCGGAAGACCAAGGGUUCCUGUCCAACGUUAAUCGGGGCAGGGUGAGUCGACCCCUAAGGCGAGGCCGAAAGGCGUAGUCGAUGGGAAACAGGUUAAUAUUCCUGUACUUGGUGUUACUGCGAAGGGGGGACGGAGAAGGCUAUGUUAGCCGGGCGACGGUUGUCCCGGUUUAAGCAUGUAGGCUGAUUGUCCAGGCAAAUCCGGAUAAUCAAGGCUGAGGUGUGAUGACGAGGCACUACGGUGCUGAAGUAACAAAUGCCCUGCUUCCAGGAAAAGCCUCUAAGCAUCAGGUAACAUUAAAUCGUACCCCAAACCGACACAGGUGGUCAGGUAGAGAAUACCAAGGCGCUUGAGAGAACUCGGGUGAAGGAACUAGGCAAAAUGGUGCCGUAACUUCGGGAGAAGGCACGCUGGUGUGUAGGUGAAGUCCCUGCGGAUGGAGCUGAGACCAGUCGAAGAUACCAGCUGGCUGCAACUGUUUAUUAAAAACACAGCACUGUGCAAACACGAAAGUGGACGUAUACGGUGUGACGCCUGCCCGGUGCCGGAAGGUUAAUUGAUGGGGUUAUCCGUAAGGAGAAGCUCUUGAUCGAAGCCCCGGUAAACGGCGGCCGUAACUAUAACGGUCCUAAGGUAGCGAAAUUCCUUGUCGGGUAAGUUCCGACCUGCACGAAUGGCGUAAUGAUGGCCAGGCUGUCUCCACCCGAGACUCAGUGAAAUUGAACUCGCUGUGAAGAUGCAGUGUACCCGCGGCAAGACGGAAAGACCCCGUGAACCUUUACUAUAGCUUGACACUGAACAUUGAGCCUUGAUGUGUAGGAUAGGUGGGAGGCUUUGAAGCGUGGACGCCAGUCUGCGUGGAGCCAACCUUGAAAUACCACCCUUUAAUGUUUGAUGUUCUAACGUUGGCCCCUGACCGGGGUUGCGGACAGUGUCUGGUGGGUAGUUUGACUGGGGCGGUCUCCUCCCAAAGCGUAACGGAGGAGCACGAAGGUUAGCUAAUCCUGGUCGGACAUCAGGAGGUUAGUGCAAUGGCAUAAGCUAGCUUGACUGCGAGCGUGACGGCGCGAGCAGGUGCGAAAGCAGGUCAUAGUGAUCCGGUGGUUCUGAAUGGAAGGGCCAUCGCUCAACGGAUAAAAGGUACUCCGGGGAUAACAGGCUGAUACCGCCCAAGAGUUCAUAUCGACGGCGGUGUUUGGCACCUCGAUGUCGGCUCAUCACAUCCUGGGGCUGAAGUAGGUCCCAAGGGUAUGGCUGUUCGCCAUUUAAAGUGGUACGCGAGCUGGGUUUAGAACGUCGUGAGACAGUUCGGUCCCUAUCUGCCGUGGGCGCUGGAGAAUUGAGGGGGGCUGCUCCUAGUACGAGAGGACCGGAGUGGACGCAUCACUGGUGUUCGGGUUGUCAUGCCAAUGGCACUGCCCGGUAGCUAAAUGCGGAAGAGAUAAGUGCUGAAAGCAUCUAAGCACGAAACUUGCCCCGAGAUGAGUUCUCCCUGAGACUUUAAGUCUCCUGAAGGAACGUUAAAGACGAUGACGUUGAUAGGCCGGGUGUGUAAGCGCAGCGAUGCGUUGAGCUAACCGGUACUAAUGAACCGUGAGGCUUAACCUUACAACGCCGAAG
rnacentral:rRNA from 1 species